rnacentral:rRNA from 1 species
CAAUAGCGUAUAUUAAAGUUGUUGCAGUUAAAAAGCUCGUAGUUGAAUUUCUGGUGGGCGCGCCGGUCUUCCAAGUGUUGUACUGGGCGCAGUCCGCCAUCCUUGUGGAGAGGGCUCGCAUUGAGUUGCGUGUCGGAUCUGCAUCAUUUACUGUGAAAAAAUUAGAGUGUUUAAAGCAGGCUGUCGCUUGAAUACAUUAGCAUGGAAUAAUAAGAUAGGACUUGGGUCUAUUUUGUUGGUUGCGAACCGAGGUAAUGAUUAAUAGGGAUAGUUGGGGGUAUUCAUAUUUAAUUGUCAGAGGUGAAAUUCUUGGAUUUAUGAAAGAUGAACAACUGCGAAAGCAUUUACCAAGGAUGUUUNCAUUA